CUUAACACAUGCAAGUCGAACGGUGAAGCCCCGCUUGCUGGGUGGAUCAGUGGCGAACGGGUGAGUAACACGUGAGCAACCUGCCCCUGACUCUGGGAUAAGCGCUGGAAACGGCGUCUAAUACUGGAUACGAGACGUGAUCGCAUGGUCAACGUUUGGAAAGAUUUUUCGGUUGGGGAUGGGCUCGCGGCCUAUCAGCUUGUUGGUGAGGUAAUGGCUCACCAAGGCGUCGACGGGUAGCCGGCCUGAGAGGGUGACCGGCCACACUGGGACUGAGACACGGCCCAGACUCCUACGGGAGGCAGCAGUGGGGAAUAUUGCACAAUGGGCGCAAGCCUGAUGCAGCAACGCCGCGUGAGGGAUGACGGCCUUCGGGUUGUAAACCUCUUUUAGCAGGGAAGAAGCGAGAGUGACGGUACCUGCAGAAAAAGCACCGGCUAACUACGUGCCAGCAGCCGCGGUAAUACGUAGGGUGCAAGCGUUAUCCGGAAUUAUUGGGCGUAAAGAGCUCGUAGGCGGUUUGUCGCGUCUGCUGUGAAAUCUGGGGGCUCAACCCCCAGCCUGCAGUGGGUACGGGCAGACUAGAGUGCGGUAGGGGAGAUUGGAAUUCCUGGUGUAGCGGUGGAAUGCGCAGAUAUCAGGAGGAACACCGAUGGCGAAGGCAGAUCUCUGGGCCGUAACUGACGCUGAGGAGCGAAAGGGUGGGGAGCAAACAGGCUUAAAUACCCUGGUAGUCCACCCCGUAAACGUUGGGAACUAGUUGUGGGGUCCAUUCCACGGAUUCCGUGACGCAGCUAACGCAUUAAGUUCCCCGCCUGGGGAGUACGGCCGCAAGGCUAAAACUCAAAGGAAUUGACGGGGACCCGCACAAGCGGCGGAGCAUGCGGAUUAAUUCGAUGCAACGCGAAGAACCUUACCAAGGCUUGACAUAUACGAGAACGGGCCAGAAAUGGUCAACUCUUUGGACACUCGUAA
rnacentral:rRNA from 1 species